GGGCCCGUAGCUCAACGGUCAGAGCACACCGCUCAUAACGGUAGGGUUCGGGGUUCGAAUCCCCGCGGGCCCA
rnacentral:tRNA from 1 species